rnacentral:tRNA from 1 species
GGCCUACUAGCUCAAUCGGUAGAGCAUUGUGCUUUUGCACAAAAGAUGUGGGUUCAACUCCCACGUAGGCUU